UGAAUGUGGGUCACAGGACAUCGCACUAGAACUGUUACGAGGUGCUGAUGUUGAGCAGAGAUCAUCCGUUCAGCCCAGAUGGUAAUUGACUCGACACCAGACCCCUGCGUCUCGUUCUAUUUCUCUUCCUGGGACAUCAGAACUUUUCCUUUGCAGGUUUUUGGAGGCUUUGAAAUCCAGACUCAGAAGUGGAGGUGGAUCCCAGCAGGAACAUGGCCCAUCUCUCUGCCCCAGAGGAGACGUACUGCCACAGGGUCCAGAGAUGAGCCUUUGCCUGUCCGCUCUGGGUCCCGGGGUCUCUUCCUGAUUGGUCUGGACUUUACGGCUGCUGGGACUUUUGCUUAAAACUCUUAACAAACAGAGGUAAAGAUGUGAUGGGGACGCUUGGGGCUUCCAGGCGCCCUCCUGCCUCACCUUCAUGCUUUAUCAUGUGAAAGUCUGCUAACCUCAUCAGACAAACACACAAACACACGCACACCACCCAUCAUGUCUCGCUCACAGGCAGCACAGUCUUAAAUCAAAGUGCGGCCGCAUGGCUGAUGGCUGUUUGACACCACUGAGCUCUUGUCACUACUGAGCCAAAGUUGCUGGUCUGGUGUCCUUGUCUUAUUCCCUCGUGUACAAUCACUUAAUCUGUCCACAGGGCACGGAUGCCCCUCUCACCACCGGGACGUGCAUACUAAACACGGCCUCAACAAUUACACACUCAAUGGCACGAUUCAUCACAAAUACACUUUACAAACAUGCAAUUUGCUACUUAUGUUUCCAAAACUGCUAUAAACUUUUUUUUUUUUUCUGCCAGUCUAAGAUAUGAUUAGCAGACUUACAAAAUGUCAUGAAAAUUACAGUAGGUGAAUCAGAAAUUGAAACGAUAAAGCUGUUUGUAUCAAGGUUAUUUUAGUUAACUGAAACUGAAAUUAAUACUAAAACCAUGUUCAUUACUUCAAAUAAAAUAAAUGUUAUAUAAACUGAAAUGAUACCU
ensembl:lncRNA